AGAAGGGGCAUGACCUCGCCCAAGUGGGCGUGGCCGAGCGACACGGACCCGUUUUCGGUAUUUUGGGGGCGUGCCCAGCGCUCCCCGAGCAGCUGGGCAGCCCCCUGCUCCCCUCCCAGCAUUGAAUAGAUGCCGUGCGCACAGCAUCUAUUCAGUGAUCACCGGCUGCUUUGCAGAGCAAAGCAGCGGGUGAUCAAAGCCUCACCCAACUGCCCCCCCGCCCGCGGGACACUGCAACCCACGAGAGGGACAGCGGGACAGUGUCCGAAUAGCGGGACUGUCCCGCUGAAAUCGGGACAGUUUGGAGCUGGAGCCUCAUAAACGUGUCAGCAGUUCAAUUUGAUGGAAAUGCACCUGCAAUGGCCCUGCAUAAAUUACCACUCAACACAGUUACUGUAAAACAGAAACUUUCAGGACCUCACAAGUUUUGUCUUUUCAUGUGUCUAUAAUAGAAACCUCAUAGGCAGCAAUCUGUGACAGCCUAUGAGAAAGCAGUAUUGCAGGUUUGAAGUUUUCUACAGACCUCGUCAUAAUAUUUUAGUGAACACCUUUAGAAGAAAAUUAAACCGAUUUAAAAGUGUUGUAAGAGAUUCCCAUAUGGAGCUCCUAUCAGCGAUGUUUGCCAAUUGGUGGCUUGGCAUCUGCAGAACGGGAAUCUGGCCAGAGAUGUGUGGCCCACACAACAGUUAUAUUAGACAUAAAAACAUACAGAACUAAA